UACGAAGGGUGCAAACGUUGCUCGGAAUUACUGGGCGUAAAGGGCGCGUAGGCGGAAUGGCAAGUCGGUCGUGAAAUCCUUCGGCUCAACCGAAGAACGUCGAUCGAAACUGCCGUUCUUUGAGGAUUGCAGAGGAGACUGGAAUUCCCGGUGUAGCGGUGAAAUGUGUAGAGAUCGGGAGGAACACCGGUGGCGAAGGCAGCUCACUACACGAGCAUUGACUCUGGAGGCACGAAAAGCGUGGGGAGUC
rnacentral:rRNA from 1 species